CAGAUGGGGCCGCUACUGUAUGGCAGAUUGAGUUUCUCAGCAGAAAACUCACCCUCCCUCCUAAACGUCUUCAAAAACCUUCUCCAGAUACUACAGGUCUCUUCGUGUGAAACUGAAAAAGUCCAUCACCAAAGUUGGUUUUGCGUGCUUGUGUGUAUGUCAGGUCCCCACCCCCCUUUCCUUCCUCUUCUUUUUUCUCUGCACUUCCUCGUCCUCUGAGCAUCUUCGACACGCUGGGCUACCCAGCUGCUGAGAGCGCAGACCCGGCGGGCCUGCUGGUUCCUGUUCGCGCGACCCACAGCGCGGCGGCGUCGACACAGCACCGAGAGGCCCCGAAGGCAAUCCGAAGGGAGAGGAAGUGAUGAAGAGGAUUAACACCCUGCUUCUAAUUCUGGCCAACUCGGAGGCCCUGCAUGGAAAAUCAGAUGUGACAGGAAUCCUGGAAGAGGGCCACCUGGCCAUCAGAAAAUUCCAGAGGGAUGUGGUCACUGCCAGACACACACUUGGUUUAUCUGGUCCACGUAGAUGGAAGAAACUAGUCUAGACGUCCAAUUUUCAGACUAAUAAAAGUUAUGGAGCUAUGUGGUGUUAUGGAAGUGAAUGUCAUAUUGCCGUGAGUAAUGAAGUGAGAUCCCAGCAGUACCCACUGUACCAAGAAGCUGAGCGUUGACUGAAGGUAUGAAGGCUUCUAGACUCUCACCAUGAACUGUGCCACACGUUGAAAUUGAAAUGUGGAUCCCUUGGAAUAACUUCUUUGUUUCCUGUUUUAUGAAGGUCAGAGGGUGGGAGUGAAAACUUACCAGUAACCAAACAUGGUGGUAUCAAGCCUAAUUAGAAAUAAAAAAACUACUAAAAUCCA